UACGAAGGGGGCUAGCGUUGCUCGGAAUCACUGGGCGUAAAGGGUGCGUAGGUGGCGGGGUAAGUCAGGUGUGAAAUUUCGGAGCUUAACUCCGAAACUGCAUUUGAUACUGCCUUGCUUGAGGACUGGAGAGGAGACUGGAAUUCACGGUGUAGCAGUGAAAUGCGUAGAGAUCGUGAGGAAGACCAGUGGCGAAGGCGGGUCUCUGGACAGUUCCUGACACUGAGGCACGAAGGCCAGGGGAGCGAAACGGG
rnacentral:rRNA from 1 species